AACCAUAAGGAGGAGGAAGCAAAUCAACAUCAUAUGGCCAAUAAAUGUUGGACAAGAACAGUCUUGAACAACAAUGCCCGCUUCUAAUUCAAGUAGAAUAGUCUUGCACACAAUGCUCCUUAUAACAUUAUCACUAAACACAAAUAAAGUAUUUAGAAGGAUAACAAGAUCUAUAAAGCAGAAAUGGCUAUUGAAAGCCUCAAUAAACUAGGAUAAGUGGUUGGUUGUCUAAACUCA